rnacentral:rRNA from 1 species
GACGAACGCUGGCGGCGUGCCUAAUACAUGCAAGUCGAACGCUGAAGGAGGAGCUUGCUUCUCUGGAUGAGUUGCGAACGGGUGAGUAACGCGUAGGUAACCUGCCUUGUAGCGGGGGAUAACUAUUGGAAACGAUAGCUAAUACCGCAUAAUAGUAGAUGUUGCAUGACAUUUGCUUAAAAGGUUCAAUUGCAUCACUACCAGAUGGACCUGCGUUGUAUUAGCUAGUUGGUGGGGUAACGGCUCACCAAGGCGACGAUACAUAGCCGAACUGCGAGGGGGAUCGGCCACACUGGGAAUGAGACACGGCCCAGACUCCUACGGGAGGCAGCAGUAGGGAAUCUUCGGCAAUGGACGGAAGUCUGACCGAGCAACGCCGCGUGAGUGAAGAAGGUUUUCGGAUCGUAAAGCUCUGUUGUAAGAGAAGAACGAGUGUGAGAGUGGAAAGUUCACACUGUGACGGUAUCUUACCAGAAAGGGACGGCUAACUACGUG